UACGUAGGGUGCGAGCGUUACUCGGAAUUACUGGGCGUAAAGCGUGCGCAGGCGGUUUUGUAAGUCAGAUGUGAAAUCCCCGGGCUUAACCUAGGAAUGGCAUUUGGGACUGCAAGGCUUGAGUGCGGCAGAGGAGACUGGAAUUCCUGGUGUAGCAGUGAAAUGCGUAGAUAUCAGGAGGAACACCGAUGGCGAAGGCAGGUCUCUGGGCUGACACUGACGCUCAUGCACGAAAGCGUGGGGAGCAAACAGG
rnacentral:rRNA from 1 species